GACGGAAGGUGCAAGCGUUGCUCGGAAUCACUGGGCGUAAAGGGUGCGUAGGCGGCUUGGUAAGUUGGGUGUGAAAGCCCCGGGCUCAGCCCGGGAAGGGCACUCGAAACUGCCGAGCUGGAGUGCCGGAGGGGAGAGUGGAAUUCCUGGUGUAGCGGUGAAAUGCGUAGAUAUCAGGAGGAACACCGGUGGCGAAGGCGGUUCUCUGGGCCUUACCUGACGCUGAGGAGCGAAAGCGUGGGGAGCAAACAGG
rnacentral:rRNA from 1 species